rnacentral:rRNA from 1 species
UACGGGGGGAGCAAGCGUUGUUCGGAUUUACUGGGCGUAAAGGGCGCGUAGGCGGCCAGCACAAGUCAGUUGUGAAAUCUCCGAGCUUAACUCGGAAAGGUCAACUGAUACUGUGCGGCUAGAGUGCGGAAGGGGCAACUGGAAUUCUUGGUGUAGCGGUGAAAUGCGUAGAGAUCCGGAGGAACACCAGAGGCGAAGGCGGCCUACUGGGCUGCACCUGACGCUGAGCCGCGAAAGCCAGGGGAGCGAACGGG